rnacentral:rRNA from 1 species
UACGUAGGGUGCGAGCGUUGUCCGGAAUUAUUGGGCGUAAAGGGCUCGUAGGCGGUUUGUCGCGUCGGGAGUGAAAUCCACUGGCUUAACUGGUGGCUUGCUUUCGAUACGGGCAGACUGGAGGUAUGCAGGGGAGAACGGAAUUCCUGGUGUAGCGGUGAAAUGCGCAGAUAUCAGGAGGAACACCGGUGGCGAAGGCGGUUCUCUGGCAUGUCCUGACGCUGAGGUGCGAAAGCGUGGGGAGCAAACAGG